CGCGGGUUGGCCGGGCCGGUCCAUGGUCAGGGUCGCUGUGAUCGUCUUGGUGGAGACGUUCCACAGUUCGACUUCGGAGCCGCGC
rnacentral:tRNA from 1 species